AGGAUUAGAGACCCUGGUAGUCGGAGCAGAAAAUGAUGAGUGUCAUAGAUUAGAUUUUUUUUUUAUUCUAUAAAUGAAAGUGUAAGCAUUCCACCUCAAGAGUAAUUUGGCAACAUUGGAACUGAAAUCAUUAGACCGUUUCUGAAACCAGUAGUGAAGUAUGUUGUUUAAUUUGAUAAUCCGCAAAAAACCUUACCAUAACCUUAAUUGCCCGAAUUCUUAAUAGAUAUUGGGUAUCUUUGAUUUAAAUAAAAGCGUUGCACGGCUGUCUUCAGUUAAUGUCGUGAGACUCUGGUUAGUUCCAUAAAAUUAACGUAAACCCUUACUUUAUUUUUACAUAAAGUUGUUCCCCACUAGAUUGGAUAUGAUAACAGGGAUCAAGACAAGUCAUCAUGGCCUAUU
rnacentral:rRNA from 1 species